GACCGGGUUCUGUACAGCCUCAAAGGGCAGUUCAAUAGCAUCUAGGGGCCGUGGACAGGCUAGGGGUGGUAAUGGUGUAGUCGUGGGCAGAGAGCACCGGCAGUGGUGCUAAUCAGAUAGAGGCAAGGCAGCCUGCACUGGUUUAUGCUGCACGAUGCUGAGAUGAUAGAGAUGCCCCAGAUGUUUUCACCAGUACAUUCUUA
rnacentral:lncRNA from 1 species